CGAGUUUGAUCAUGGCUCAGAUUGAACGCUGGCGGCAGGCUUAACACAUGCAAGUCGAGCGGAGACUUCGGUCUUAGCGGCGAACGGGUGAGUAAUACCUAGGAAUCUGCCUAUUAGUGGGGGAUAACGAAUCGAAAGGUUCGCUAAUACCGCAUACGUCCUACGGGAGAAAGGGGGGGAUCUUCGGACCUCUCGCUAAUAGAUGAGCCUAGGCCGGAUUAGCUAGUUGGUAGGGUAAAGGCCUACCAAGGCGACGAUCUGUAGCUGGUCUGAGAGGAUGGCCAGCCACACUGGAACUGAGACACGGUCCAGACUCCUACGGGAGGCAGCAGUAGGGAAUAUUGGACAAUGGGGGGAACCCUGAUCCAGCCAUGCCGCGUGAGGGAAGAAGGUCCUCUGGAUUGUAAACCUCUUUUGGCAGGAAACAAACCUGCGCUAUACGCGCAGCUGAGGGUACCUGCAGAAUAAGCACCGGCUAACUCCGUG
rnacentral:rRNA from 1 species